AUCAGCACUGCACAUAGGCCUUUCACCAUGAAGUUGUGUCUGAACUGGGUUUUCUUUGUAACUCUUUUAAAUGGCAUUCAAUGUGAGGUGAAGCUGGUGGAGUCUGGUGGAGGCUUGGUACAGCCUGGGAAUUUUCUGAGACUCUCCUGUGCAGCCUCUGGAUUCACCUUCACUGAUUUCCACAUGAACAGGUUGUGCCAGUCUCCAGGGAAGGGACUGGAGUGGGUUGCUCUGAGUAGAAACAAAGCUAACAGUUACACCACAGAGUACAGUGCAUCUGUGAAGGGUCAGUUCAGCAUCUCCAGAGACAAUUCCCAAAGCAUGUCCUACCUUCAAAUGAACAAUCUGAGAGCUGAGGACACUGCCACUUACUACUGUACAAGAGAUGGACACACAAUGAGGGGACUGCAGUUUGAGCCCAGACAGAAACCUCCUUGCAGCGGUACUCAGCACCAAAAGGGGGCGCUCAAGGUAGGAGAACAAGAAUGCAUUCCUGACAGUGUCUCCUGCCUUUGA